CUGCUGCCUCCCGUAGGAGUUUGGGCCGUGUCUCAGUCCCAAUGUGGCCGUCCACCCUCUCAGGCCGGCUGCUGAUCGUCGCUUUGGUGGGCCGUUACCCCGCCAACUGGCUAAUCAGACGCGGGCCCAUCCUGUACCACCGGAGUUUUCAAAGGAUUACCAUGCGGUAUUCCCUAUUAUGCGGUAUUAGCACCUAUUUCUAAGUGUUAUCCCCCGGUACAGGGCAGGUUGCCCACGCGUUACUCACCCGUCCGCCACUAAGA
rnacentral:rRNA from 1 species